UGAGGAAUAUUGGUCAAUGGGCUGAGGCCUGAACCAGCCAAGUCGCGUGAGGGAAGACGGUCCUAUGGAUUGUAAACCUCUUUUGUCGGGGAGCAACGACGUCACGAGUGACGGAAGUGAGAGUACCCCGAAGAAAAAGCAUCGGCUAACUCCGUGCCAGCAGCCGCGGUAAUACGGAGGAUGCGAGCGUUAUCCGGAUUUAUUGGGUUUAAAGGGUGCGUAGGCGGACUGUUAAGUCAGCGGUAAAAAUUCGGGGCCCAACCCCGUCAUGCCGUUGAAACUGGCGGACUAGAGUGGGCGAGAAGUAUGCGGAAUGCGAGGUGUAGCGGUGAAAUGCAUAGAUAUCACGCAGAACUCCGAUUGCGAAGGCAGCAUACCGGCGCCCAACUGACGCUGAGGCACGAAAGCGUGGGAUCGAACAGGAUUAGAUACC
rnacentral:rRNA from 1 species